rnacentral:rRNA from 1 species
UACGGAGGGGGGCUAGCGUUGUUCGGAAUUACUGGGCGUAAAGCGCGCGUAGGCGGCUUUGUAAGUUAGAGGUGAAAGCCCGGAGCUCAACUUGAAGACUGCACGAGAAACUGCAGGGCUUGAGUGUGGGAGAGGUGAGUGGAAUUCCUGGUGUAGCGGUGAAAUGCGUAGAUAUCAGGAGGAACACCUGUGGCGAAAAGCGGCUCACUGGACCACAACUGACGCUGGAUGCACGAAAAGCUAGGGGAGCAAACAGG